rnacentral:rRNA from 2 species
ACGGGAGGCAGCAGUAGGGAAUCUUCCACAAUGGGCGAAAGCCUGAUGGAGCAACGCCGCGUGUGUGAUGAAGGGUUUCGGCUCGUAAAACACUGUUGUAAGAGAAGAAUGACAUUGAGAGUAACUGUUCAAUGUGUGACGGUAUCUUACCAGAAAGGAACGGCUAAAUACGUGCCAGCAGCCGCGGUAAUACGUAUGUUCCAAGCGUUAUCCGGAUUUAUUGGGCGUAAAGCGAGCGCAGACGGUUAUUUAAGUCUGAAGUGAAAGCCCUCAGCUCAACUGAGGAAUUGCUUUGGAAACUGGAUGACUUGAGUGCAGUAGAGGAAAGUGGAACUCCAUGUGUAGCGGUGAAAUGCGUAGAUAUAUGGAAGAACACCAGUGGCGAAGGCGGCUUUCUGGACUGUAACUGACGUUGAGGCUCGAAAGUGUGGGUAGCAAACAGGAUUAGAUACCCUGGUA